rnacentral:misc_RNA from 1 species
CUCCUUGCCGUUGACCACUUCGUGCAGUGACUUGAGCCACUCCCUCCCCACAUCCCGCUCCUCUUAUUUUGCUCGUACACCUUGUCGGGGUCACUGCCAUCUCCGCGUCUCACCGCGCACCUGCUCUUCGCCAUGUCAUGACGGACAAGGUACGCAUCGGCUUAGCGGUACACAUAUAUACGCAAACAUAGAAGUGUCGCAGACCACAGCCGGCACAACAGGAGUUUGAAAGAGGAGGGGAUGAAGCCGUAGGGCAGACACACACACACAAGCCUCCGCCACCUCCUCUCCCGUCGUUCUCUCUCUGGGUGUGUGAACUGAGAUGGUUCAGUCCCGUUUUUUUUUUCUGGGCGGUGGAGGCGGUGUGGGGCGGGGCGGGAAAGGGAGGCUUGCAGCCUUUGCAUUCCGUAGCGGAUGUGUGUCGAAUGCGCUCUGGGCAACCCUCUUCCUCUUUUUCACCGCUCCCCCUCCCCUACCCACCUCCCUCUUUGGUGGCUUCCCUUAGGGUGGUAGGUGCUCUACAUGUACAUGCGUACGCGUAUUAUGUCUCUGUCUGUCCUCGUUCUCUCUCUCUCUCUCGCUGUCUCUGCGCAUCGUUGUCGUCGCUCCGUGCUCGCUCCUCUGCUCUUCUGCCGCAGAAUAGAGGCACAUUGUCCUACAGUGGAGCCGUGCCUUGGGGCAUUGAACGCUGACGACGAGCUCUCUCGCUCGCGAUCUCGCCCUCUUUCCUGCGUAUCUUCUCUUCUGCUCCCCAAGCCGGCAGGCGGGUGUGCAGCUGUCUCGGCGGGGGGUUCCUUCUAUUUUUUUUGUGUAUUUCUUUUCUUCUCGUACACCUUUGAGGGAUCUCCCGCUGCGACGAGGUCGAGGUCGAGGACGGGUGGAGGGAGGGAGGGAGGGGGCGGGGCGCGAUCGCGUCGUCGCUUCCUUCUCCAGCCCGAACGCGACCUUUGCUCUGCUUGCCAGCGUUUCUUCUCGUUUCCAUUUUUCUUCGAGAACGGGCCCCGUGACCUCAUGGACCCCCUUCUCUACUGCCAUUGUCACUCUCCGUGCCUUCCGAGUACGUCCCGCUCAUCCGGACCCCCUCUCCCCUUCACGCCACCACCCGGUAAGACCAGGAGGCUGGAGGGGCGAGUGGCUCCGCACUUUUUGUCCGUACACGGGCGGCAGGCAUAUAUGUGUGACGAUAUUCUUGUAUGAAUGCUGUGCACCAUGCCUCCCGAUAUGGCCUCGGUGUGCGAGCGGCGCGAUGAUGUGCACACGCACGCCCCCCCCCCCACACACACACACACACACGGCAGAAGUCGGAUCGAAAGAAUCGAAUAUGCCGUCUCUCUCAACGGCCUCGGUGUAACUCCUGUCCGGUUUCUUCUCUCCCUUCUCCCUCGUAUCGCUUCCCUUUCCCUCGCUCGCGCUGACGAAG